UCUCUUCUAAACAACUUUGUUUAUCUUGUGACUGGUUCUGUUUUCCUGAGGGGUCAACUGCACGUGAUUCAGCUUCAAUAUGUCUUUUUUAAAUAAAGGGUCUGGACUUGGUAUAAAUACAGACAACAUAGUAAAACAAGGAAAAGAGACCGUACAGGAUACUGCCAACCAGUGUGUGCAAGAAGGACAGAAAAUCGCUGAAGAAGCUGUAGACAAAGGAUGCCAAGUUGCUAAAGAAGCUGGAGAUAAGACAAUUGGACAAGUGAAAGGUGGUUUCAAGAAGAAGUGAAGAUUGGUUCAAAAAGUGCCAGUAUUGGAUUUAUCUGAUGUAUUGCAGAAAACAAUGUGUCGAUAAUAUUUCCCCUUAACUAAAUAUAUAUUUUUCCCAACCUCAUUAUACUACAAUGACUUAAAUUGUAUUAAAGUGUUGUGCAAUUAAAA